rnacentral:rRNA from 1 species
UUAGUGGCAGACGGGUGAGUAAUGCAUAGGAAUCUACCUAGUAGUAUGGGAUAGCCACUAGAAAUGGUGGGUAAUACUGUAUAAUCCCUGCGGGGGAAAGAUUUAUCGCUAUUAGAUGAGCCUAUGUCAGAUUAGCUAGUUGGUGGGGUAAUGGCCUACCAAGGCGGUGAUCUGUAGCUGGUCUGAGAGGAUGAUCAGCCACACUGGAACUGAGACACGGUCCAGACUCCUACGGGAGGCAGCAGUGGGGAAUAUUGGACAAUGGGCGCAAGCCUGAUCCAGCUAUGCCGCGUGAGUGAGGAAGGCCUUAGGGUUGUAAAACUCUUUCAGUAGGGAAGAUAAUGACGGUACCUACAGAAGAAGUCCCGGCAAACUCCGUGCCAGCAGCCGCGGUAAUACGGAGGGGGCAAGCGUUGUUCGGA